CCCGGACACUUGAACGGCUCGUACGGGUGGCAAGCGUCACCGACUGCAACAUAACCAACAAAAACACAUUCCAAGUUAUAUCAUGUUGAUACAAUCAAGUCCUACUUUGUUAUUUAUUUUCUACGAACCUAAUCUACAUUGGGACAUUAGACGUAAUGCACCGGUGUGGCCAUGUUGCGAGUCAUGAAUGGCGCCCGACCGUAGACACUACGAGGGUAGUUAAUGGAAAACGUAAUUUGGUUUGCGUUUCAUUUAUUUCCACCAACGCAACACAACACAAAUGCGGCGGGAGUUUCACGCGUUUGUCGUUGCGGUAAGAAUCAACAGUGUUGUUGUUUUUUUGUUGCGCGGCCAUUUUAUUUACUUGUAAUGUUAAUUCUUGUUUUCGGUGUUUGUUUGGGAAUUGUUUGUGUUUGUGUGUUUGCUAAAACGCAAAAUGGCGAACGUGUGAGCGUCGGCGCGUGUUUUAUUCAUUUCGUUCUCACUUCGCGUCACGCGCGAGUAGAAUUCCCAAAUGUUUCGCUUUCACGUCGCCUUUUCCACUUUCCGGCUUUCCGCUUUACGCGUCCAGGGGCAGGUGUGCAUCCGUCGGCGGGUUAUUUUCGAAACAAAUUGUAAAAGAUAGGGUUAUUCGCGUAACUCGUUUUAUUUUAUGUUUUUCUUCGCGUUUUUUUCUACAAAAUUCCAAGUAAAAACCUGUUUAUCUUCAAUUUACUUUAGUGCUACGUAUUUCUACUGGUCGCUUGCGCAAACAAACAGAAAAAUUAAAUUAUAAAGAAAACACACUUCUAUAUUGAUAUUAAAUUAUAAAUAAAUAAAAACGAACAAUGUGUGCAUUGUAACAGAACUAAAAUAUUAAUAAAAAUAACAAAACUGCA